rnacentral:rRNA from 1 species
GGCAGAGGUGCCGAGCGUUAGGCGGAAUCACUGGGCUUAAAGCGUGUGUAGGCGGGCCGUUAAGUACCUUGUGAAAUCCCCCGGCUCAACCGGGGAACGGCUGGGUAUACUGGCGGCCUUGAGAGGCCUAGGGGCGAGCGGAACAAGCGGUGGAGCGGUGAAAUGCGUAGAUAUCGCUUGGAACGCCGACGGUGAAAACAGCUCGCUGGGGGCCAUCUGACGCUGAGACACGAAAGCCAGGGGAGCGAACGGG